CGUUCCCGGGCCUUGUACACACCGCCCGUCACACCACGAAAGCCGGAAACACCCGAAGUCCGUGAGCCAACCCUUUUGGGAGGCAGCGGCCGAAGGUGGCGUCGGUGAUUGGGGUG
rnacentral:rRNA from 1 species